UCCGUUGGUGGAUAAUUAAGUCAGAGGUGAAAUCCUGCAGCUCAACUGUAGAAUUGCCUUUGAUACUGGUUAUCUUGAAUUAUUGUGAAGUGGUUAGAAUAUGUAGUGUAGCGGUGAAAUGCAUAGAUAUUACAUAGAAUACCAAUUGCGAAGGCAGAUCACUAACAAUAUAUUGACACUGAUGGACGAAAGCGUGGGGAGCGAACAGGAUUAGAUACCCUGGUAGUCC
rnacentral:rRNA from 1 species